rnacentral:misc_RNA from 1 species
GAUGAAGAACGUAGCGAAAUGCGAUAAGUAAUGUGAAUUGCAGAAUUCAGUGAAUCAUCGAAUCUUUGAACGCACAUUGCGCCCGCCAGUAUUCUGGCGGGCAUGCCUGUUCGAGCGUCAUUUCAACCAUCAAGCCCCCGGGCUUGUGUUGGGGACCUGCGGCUGCCGCUGGCCCUGAAAAGCAGUGGCGGGCUCGCUGUCACACCGAGCGUAGUAGAUUUUAUCUCGCUCUGGGCGUGCUGCGGGUUCCGGCCGUUAAACCACCCUUUUAACCCAAGGUUGACCUCGGAUCAGGUAGGAAGACCCGCUGAACUUAAGCAUAUCAUAAGCGGAGGA